UUGAGUGCAGAAGAGGACAGUGGAACUCCAUGUGUAGCGGUGAAAUGCGUAGAUAUAUGGAAGAACACCAGUGGCGAAGGCGGCUGUCUGGUCUGUAACUGACGCUGAGGCUCGAAAGUAUGGGUAGCAAACAGGAUUAGAUACCCUGGUAGUCCAUACCGUAAACGAUGAAUGCUAAGUGUUGGAGGGUUUCCCCCUUCAGUGCUGCAGCUAACGCAUUAAGCAUUCCGCCUGGGGAGUACGGCCGCAAGGCUGAAACUCAAAGGAAUUGACGGGGGCCCGCACAAGCGGUGGAGCAUGUGGUUUAAUUCGAAGCUACGCGAAGAACCUUACCAGGUCUUGACAUACUAUGCAAAUCUAAGAGAUUAGACGUUCCCUUCGGGGACAUGGAUACAGGUGGUGCAUGGUUGUCGUCAGCUCGUGUCGUGAGAUGUUGGGUUAAGUCCCGCAACGAGCGCAACCCUUAUUAUCAGUUGCCAGCAUUAAGUUGGGCACUCUGGUGAGACUGCCGGUGACAAACCGGAGGAAGGUGGGGAUGACGUCAAAUCAUCAUGCCCCUUAUGACCUGGGCUACACACGUGCUACAAUGGAUGGUACAACGAGUUGCGAACUCGCGAGAGUAAGCUAAUCUCUUAAAGCCAUUCUCAGUUCGGAUUGUAGGCUGCAACUCGCCUACAUGAAGUCGGAAUCGCUAGUAAUCGCGGAUCAGCAUGCCGCGGUGAAUACGUUCCCGGGCCUUGUACACACCGCCCGUCACACCAUGAGAGUUUGUAACACCCAAAGUCGGUGGGGUAACCUUUAGGAACCAGCCGCCUAAGGUGGGACAGAUGAUUAGGGUGAAGUCGUAACAAGGUAACCAAGGGCGAAUCG
rnacentral:rRNA from 1 species